rnacentral:lncRNA from 1 species
ACGAUCUUUUGACCAACGAGUCCCAGACCAUUAAAACCUUAGUGCGCUAGGUGUAAAGACAAUCCCCUCGGGCUUACUUACUCAAGUAACAAAGGCCACAAAACUAGACAAGCACGCCACGGUGUUUAUUCAUACUUUUUCUUUUCUUUUCUUUUCUUUUUUUUUUAUAUAGCUUAUAUACCCCAAAUAUUCCCCCAAACUUAGGUUCUUGUCUAACUUUUGUCAUCACUACUUAUUCUUGUCAUUCUGUCAUUCAGACUAGCAUUAUCCUUUAGAGUCCCAUUAUGUAUCAAUUUAAACUCAAUCAAUCAACAAGUUGUUUUUACUGUGCUAUCCUUAUUAUACUAGUUUCAAGUAGAAAAAGAUUCAAUUCAUAACAAGAAAUCAUAUCAAAGCUCUAAUAUUCAGUACUAUACUUGUCUACCCAAUUCCAAUCUCAUCAUUAGCCAAAACAAACUGUAAAUAUCAAACAGCUGGACUCAUGCAAGAUGUACUAAAUGCUAUAUAAACAUAGUAAACUAACUACUAUUUCUGAAAGUUUUCAAUUUUUUAAAUUUUUUUAAAUUCUUUUAUUUUAAACAAAA